UUCUUGUUGGUCAUGACUUCUCAACCUACAUGGAUGCACAGGCAAAAGUAGAUGAAGCUUACAAGGACCGACAAUUGUGGCUGAAGAUGUCGAUAUUGAGCACGGCUGGGAGUGGAAAAUUCAGCAGUGACCGAACAAUCGCCCAGUAUGCCAAAGAAAUAUGGAAUAUACAGGAGUGCCGUGUACCAUAAUUUCAACAUUCUAGGUCCACCUUGUCAUAAAUUGUAAAGGAAAUAAGAAUUCUGUAUGACGCUAGGUAUUCCCAAUUAUCUCUGCUUUAAUUCUCUACUUCUUGCUUCCAGUAUUACUAGCGGAG
rnacentral:misc_RNA from 1 species